GCCGAGCGCAGUGGCACGUGCAUGUAGUCCCAGUUACUUGGGAGGCUGAGGCUGGAGAAUCGCUUGAGCCCAGGAGUUCUGGGCUGUAGUGAGCUAUGCCGAUUGGGUGUCCCCACUACGUUCGGCAUCAAUAUGGUGACCUCGGGAGCAGGGAACCACCAGGAGAGCAAGUGUGCCAGGGACUGUGUGUGGGUGCGGGGGUUGAGGAAUGGAAAGAGGGGUGAACCGGCCCAGGUAGGAAACAGAGCAGGUCAAAAUGCCUGUGCUGAUCAGUAGUGGGAUCGCGCCUGUGAAUAGCCACUGCACUCCAGCCUGGACAACAUAGUGAGACCCUGUCUCU
rnacentral:SRP_RNA from 1 species